AUGACUUCCAUUAUUUUGUAAUAAAAGGCUUAAAGCACAAUGUGAGCUUUUUUUAGAUGCUACGUUCCAAGUGAGUAGUGUGUUGUUAAUUUUUAUAUUAAUGCAGGGUGCCAGCAGAACUCCGUGCAGAAUCUAAAGAAGAAAAUCACUUUCCCACAGCUCUGAUACCUGGUGACCGAUUUUAGCUUAUUUAUUUUAUUUUAUUUUAUUUUAUUUUAUAUUUUAUUUUAUUUUUUGUCAUCUCCUAGAUGAAAUGAACAUCCUUUCCACAGCGAUGCAGUAUAGAUAUUUCCAACACAAGGACCCUUCUCCCCAGUGACAAGAGAGUUCCUUGCUAAACCAUAGUUCUGUCACCAGCACAUGUGAGUCCCUACUAAGCAUUAAUUGGUAUUUAUACUCUCAACACCUGCUUCUCUUUGAGAAGGAGACCUUUUAACAUUGUUUUUUUCUUAUUUCUAGGCAUUGGGUACAGCUUCCUACCUUCCCCUGUGCAUCUUCCUGAGAGCUGGAGAUGACGAGAUCCUCUACUUGUAUUCCCCAGUGAAAAGCUGACAACACUCUAUUGUCUGCCUACUAAUGAGCUUUCUUGUAUGGAAGAUGAUAAAGCAAAAUCUAAUCACAUCUAUGUCCCCAAACACACUUCAGGUGAUUGUAGGAUGGAGAGGAAGAAAGAGGAGAAGAGAGGUAGAGUCACUGCAUAGGCCAGACCACCUGG
rnacentral:lncRNA from 1 species